GAUGAACGCUGGCGGCGUGCCUAAUACAUGCAAGUCGAGCGAACGGGCGAGCAGCUUGCUGCUCUGAUGUUAGCGGCGGACGGGUGAGUAACACGUGGAUAACCUACCUAUAAGACUGGGAUAACUUCGGGAAACCGUAGCUAAUACCGGAUAAGAUUUUGAACCGCAUGGUUCAAAAGUGAAAGACGGUCUUGCUGUCAAUGAUGAAUGGAUCCGCGCUGCAUUAGCUAGUUGGUAAGGUGACGGCUUACCAAGGCAACGAUGGAUAGCCGGCCGGAGUGGGAGGGUGGACGGCCACAAACGGAGUGAGGUUCCAGACACCCACGGAAGGGAGGCGGAGGGAGGCAACAGCACAGGGCGGAAGCCUGCCGGAUCAAGGCCCGCUGAGUGGUGAAGGUCUUCCUUUCGUUAGUCUCCGCCAUUAGUGAAGAACGUAUGUGUAAGUUACUGGGCUCAGCUGACCGUACCCUAGUCAGAAAGCCACGGCUAACUACGUG
rnacentral:rRNA from 1 species